GAUGAACGCUGGCGGCGUGCCUAAUACAUGCCAGUCGAGCGAAAAGACGCGGCUCUUGCUCCUCUGACGUUUGCGGCGCACGGGUGAGUAACACGUGGAUAACCCCCCUAUCAGACUGGGAUAUCUUCGGGAAACCGGAUCUUAUCCCGGAUAAUAUAUUGCAGCGCAUUGUUCAAUAGUGAAAGACGGCUUUGCUGUCUCUUAUCGCUGGAUCCGCGCCGCAUUAGCUAGUUUUUAAGUUACAGGCUUACCAAGGGUACGAUGCGUAGCCGACCUGCUAGGGGGGUCGGCCGCACUAGAACUUAAACAGGGUCCAGGCUCCUGCGGGAGGCAGCAGUAGGGAAUCGUCCGCAGUGGGCGGAAACCUGACGGAACGGCGCCGCGUGAGUGAUGGAGGUCUUCGGAUCGGGAAGCUCUGUUAUUAGUGAAGAACAAAUGUGUAAGUAACUAUACACGUCUUGACGGCACCUGGUCAGAAAGCCACGGCUAACUACGUG
rnacentral:rRNA from 1 species